rnacentral:rRNA from 1 species
UACAGAGGUCUCAAGCGUUGUUCGGAUUCAUUGGGCGUAAAGGGUGCGUAGGUGGCGCUGUAAGUCAGGUGUGAAAUUUCGGAGCUUAACUCCGAAACUGCAUUUGAUACUGCGGUGCUCGAGGACUGGAGAGGAGACUGGAAUUUACGGUGUAGCAGUGAAAUGCGUAGAGAUCAUGAGGAAGACCAGUGGCGAAGGCGGGUCUCUGGACAGUUCCUGACACUGAGGCACGAAGGCCAGGGAGCAAACGGG